rnacentral:rRNA from 1 species
UACGUAGGGUGCAAGCGUUAAUCGGAAUUACUGGGCGUAAAGCGUCCGCAGGUGGACAUACAAGUCUGCUGUCAAAGUGCAGAGCUUAACUCUGUAAAGGCGGUGGAAACUGUAGGUCUUGAGUAUGGUAGGGGUAGAGGGAAUUCCCGGUGUAGCGGUGAAAUGCGUAGAUAUCGGGAAGAACACCAGUGGCGAAAGCGCUCUACUGGGCCAUAACUGACACUGAGGGACGAAAGCUAGGGGAGCGAAAGGG